UUGAAGGCAUCUUACGAGAGAUAAAAACGGCUUCACAGCCGUCGCUGAGAGAUGGACCUGCGGCGCAUUAGCUAGUUGGUGAGAUAAUAGCCCACCAAGGCGAGGAUGCGUAGCCGACCUGAGAGGGUGAUCGGCCACAAUGGAACUGAGAAACGGUCCAUACUCCUACGGGGGGCAGCAGUAGGGAGUUUUCGGCAAUGGGGGGAACCCUGACCGAGCAACGCCGCGUGAGUGAUGAAGGUCUUCGGAUUGUAAAGCUCUGUUGUAGGGGACGAAUGAGUGAUCGAGGAAAUGCGGUCGCUUUGACGGUACUCUACCAGAAAGCCACGGCUAACUACGUG
rnacentral:rRNA from 1 species